rnacentral:lncRNA from 10 species
UUUCAACUAGAAGAUUAAAACCCAUCCCAAGCGUACAAGAAGACAUCAGGCAUGAAGCAGUAUAGAAUUGUCUGGCUUUUUGCUUUUUUCCCCCAGACUGGGUCAUGUAUCUUAAACGCAAAUAGAAAAGAGGAUCUGGAUUUCACAAACAUGACUUCAUUUUUAAGAAGUUUCUAGCUGGGCAUGGUGGCUCAUGCCUGUAGUCCCAGCACUUUGGAAGGCCAAGGCCAGCGGAUCGCUUGAGCCUAGGAGUUUGAGACCAGCCUGAGCAACACUGUGAAAACCUGUCUAUAAAAAAUACAAAAAAAUUAGCCAGGUGUCAUGGCAUGUGCCUAUAGACCCAGCUACUUGGGAGGCUGAGGUGGGAGGAUCGCUUGAGCCUGGGAGGUGGAGGUUGCAAUGAACCCAGAUCGUGCCACUGCACUCCAGCCUGGGUGACAGAGUGAGACCCUGUCUCAAAAAAAAAAAAAAAAAAAGGUUCCUGUGACACAUUUAAGGUGUGGUUUUAUUUGUGCAUAGCUUUACAAGAUUCCCCUCUUUAUGUAAAGUGUGUAGUGUUUCACUUGAAUUUGUAGCUCUCCAAUUUGUGUAGAAAAACGUAGUGGUUGUGUAUUAACAGAAAAUGCUUCUGAGAAGUUUAUAUCUAGUAAGGUCUUUACCCUAGUUGUAGUUGGAAGAGUGUAGAACAGAGUUUUUCUUUCUGAGUGUUCUUUUUAACUUCAGUGUUAGUGCUAGUAGUAACCUUAUAUGUCAUCUCUCCAGAGGUCUUCAUCAAGGAUUCACAUGGCAGUCCUGAUCUGAAGGGCAUAUUUAAAAUGUACUUGUCCAGAUUUCACUGCUAAAGAUUAUGAUUCAGUAGGUCUAGGAUGGGCUUCAGCCGUUUGGGUUGAUUGUGAUAGCAUACAUGUCUUUAGUUGAGGACUGCUGGUAUUACCUGCAAUUUUGAGAUAGAGAAAAGUGCAGGAAAAUCUUCCUCCAGGAUCACUAAAGCUGAGCCCUAGCUUGUUACCUGUGGAGGCAUUGAGACAUUUGUUCACAGAAAGUACAGUUUGGAUUUUUGGUUUUUUUUAGAAGAAAGCUCAUUAUUUAGAAAUUUUGCAAUGUUACUUUUCUACUAAUAACACAAUCAUCUUCACUUAUAUUUUUAGGCUCAUGCUGAAGAUUCGGUUAUGGACCAUCAUUUCCGGAAGCCAGCAAAUGAUAUAACGUCUCAGCUGGAGAUCAAUUUUGGAGACCUUGGCCGCCCAGGACGUGGCGGCAGGGGAGGACGAGGUGGACGUGGGCGUGGUGGGCGCCCAAACCGUGGCAGCAGGACCGACAAGUCAAGUGCUUCUGCUCCUGAUGUGGAUGACCCAGAGGCAUUCCCAGCUCUGGCUUAACUGGAUGCCAUAAGACAACCCUGGUUCCUUUGUGAACCCUUCUGUUCAAAGCUUUUGCAUGCUUAAGGAUUCCAAACGACU